UACAGAGGUCUCAAGCGUUGUUCGGAUUCAUUGGGCGUAAAGGGUGCGUAGGUGGCGCUGUAAGUCAGGUGUGAAAUUUCGGAGCUUAACUCCGAAACUGCAUUUGAUACUGCGGUGCUUGAGGACUGGAGAGGAGACUGGAAUUUACGGUGUAGCAGUGAAAUGCGUAGAGAUCGUAAGGAAGACCAGUGGCGAAGGCGGGUCUCUGGACAGUUCCUGACACUGAGGAACGAAGGCCAGGGGAGCAAACGGG
rnacentral:rRNA from 1 species